GACGAACGCUGGCGGCGUGCUUAACACAUGCAAGUCGAACGGAAAGGCCCCUUUGGGGGUACUCGAGUGGCGAACGGGUGAGUAACACGUGAGUAACCUGCCCUUGACUUCGGGAUAACUUCAGGAAACUGGGGCUAAUACCGGAUAGGAAUCCUUGCUGCAUGGUGGGGGUUGGAAAGCUUCGCCGGUUUUGGAUGGACUCGCGGCUUAUCAGCUUGUUGGUGGGGUAGUGGCUUACCAAGGCUUUGACGGGUAGCCGGCCUGAGAGGGCGACCGGCCACAUUGGGACUGAGAUACGGCCCAGACUCCUACGGGAGGCAGCGGUGGGGAAUAUUGCACAAUGGGCGGAAGCCUGAUGCAGCAACGCCGCGUGCGGGAUGACGGCCUUCGGGUUGUAAACCGCUUUCAGCAGGGGCGAAGCUUGUGGUGACGGUACCUGCAGAAGAAGCACCGGCUAACUACGUG
rnacentral:rRNA from 1 species